rfam:Oryza sativa (indica cultivar-group) chromosome 4, whole genome shotgun sequence.
AAUAAGUAUAGUUUUAUACUAUUCAUCUCCAACAUUUGACCGUUCAUCUUAUUUGAAAAUUUUUUAUGAUUACUAUUUUUUAUUGUUAUUAGAUGAUAAAAUAUAGAUAGUACUUUAUGUGUUAUUAAUUUUUUUAAAAAAAUUUAUAAAUAUUUUAAAUAAGACGAAUGGUUAAACGUUAGACACAUAUUUUUGUGGCUGCAUUUAUU